rnacentral:rRNA from 1 species
GAUGAACGCUGACAGAAUGCUUAACACAUGCAAGUCGACUUGAAUUUGGGUUUUUAACUUAGGUUUGGGUGGCGGACGGGUGAGUAACGCGUAAAGAACUUGCCUCACAGCUAGGGACAACAUUUGGAAACGAAUGCUAAUACCUAAUAUUAUGAUAAUAGGGCAUCCUAUAAUUAUGAAAGCUAUAAGCGCUGUGAGAGAGCUUUGCGUCCCAUUAGCUAGUUGGAGAGGUAACGGCUCACCAAGGCGAUGAUGGGUAGCCGGCCUGAGAGGGUGAUCGGCCACAAGGGGACGGAGACACGGCCCGUACUCCUACGGGAGGCAGCAGUGGGGAAUAUUGGACAAUGGACCAAGAGUCUGAUCCAGCAAUUCUGUGUGCACGAUGAAGUUUUUCGGAAUGUAAAGUGCUUUCAGUUGGGAAGAAAGAAAUGACGGUACCAACAGAAGAAGUGACGGCUAAAUACGUG